rnacentral:rRNA from 1 species
UACGAAGGGGGCUAGCGUUGUUCGGAAUCACUGGGCGUAAAGCGCACGUAGGCGGAUCUUUAAGUCAGAGGUGAAAUCCCAAGGCUCAACCUUGGAACUGCCUUUGAUACUGGGGAUCUUGAGUCCGGGGAGAGGUGAGUGGAACUGCGAGUGUAGAGGUGAAAUUCGUAGAUAUUCGCAAGAACACCAGUGGCGAAGGCGGCUCACUGGCCCGAUACUGACGCUGAGGCACGAAAGCGUGGGGAGCAAACAGG